CAGGUAGCCUGCGAACAGGCUCUCAAGCUGAAUUGAGAGCCUGCAUCGGUGACUAAUGAAUUUGAAUAUCUGCCCCGUAACGUUCGUUUUUCCAAAUAUGGAAUGUCUAUCCUUAUAUGGUGUUGUUUACAACUUUCGUGCAAACUAAAUUUAGACCAUGCAAACUAAAUUUAGACCGUACAGUUUAUACUGUUUUUCGAAAUAUAAGAUAUUGAAGC